rnacentral:rRNA from 1 species
UACGGAGGAUCCGAGCGUUAUCCGGAUUUAUUGGGUUUAAAGGGUGCGCAGGCGGGAGAUUAAGUCGGCGGUGAAAUUUUGCAGCUCAACUGUAAAAGUGCCUUCGAAACUCGUUUCCUUGAGUGUGGAUGAAGUAGGCGGAAUUUGUGGUGUAGCGGUGAAAUGCAUAGAUAUCACGAGGAACUCCGAUUGCGCAGGCAGCUUACUAAACCAUAACUGACGCUCAGGCACGAAGGCGUGGGGAUCAAACAGGAUUAGAUACCCUGGUA